ACAUUAAAGUGCAUGUCAAGUGUGCCUCAGAGUCUUACCCCACCCACGUAUCAAUUUUGAAAACUGCAACAUUAGUAGGCGUUGCCUGGAGGACCGAGAGGGCGGAGCCGUGGCAGUGACGAAGAGACGGCUAACUAGACGAAGCUAGCUCCCUUCACUCUGAGCAGUCAUUAGAAGUGGAGGACGUUUCUCCCCCUCCUUACCCAGACACUCGAGAAGAAAGGGACCAAGUCUAUUUGGAGGAGACAAGCGGACAUGAGCCUUAUUGUUUUGAGCUUGUGAGUUGCCUGAAAUUACUGGAACCGACCCAACAGACCCAUCUCUGAACGUGAUCCUCUGGUGUCUGCAGCUGGUCUCCUGCUGAUGUCGUCGGGAUCAGGAACUUCCAGAAGAAUGUGCCUUUCAAUGACUCUUUCCCCCUUAUUUGUUAUAUUAAUUAAAUAAAUCUCAAUUUA